CUUAUGAGGAUGGGUGAGUAACACGUGGGCAAUCUGCCCUAAAGACUGGGAUACCACUUGGAAACAGGUGCUAAUACCGGAUAACAACAUGAAUCGCAUGAUUCAAGUUUGAAAGGCGGCGCAAGCUGUCACUUUAGGAUGAGCCCGCGGCGCAUUAGCUAGUUGGUGGGGUAAAGGCCUACCAAGGCAAUGAUGCGUAGCCGAGUUGAGAGACUGAUCGGCCACAUUGGGACUGAGACACGGCCCAAACUCCUACGGGAGGCAGCAGUAGGGAAUCUUCCACAAUGGACGCAAGUCUGAUGGAGCAACGCCGCGUGAGUGAAGAAGGUUUUCGGAUCGUAAAACUCUGUUGUUGGUGAAGAAGGAUAGAGGCAGUAACUGGUCUUUAUUUGACGGUAAUCAACCAGAAAGUCACGGCUAACUACGUGCCAGCAGCCGCGGUAAUACGUAGGUGGCAAGCGUUGUCCGGAUUUAUUGGGCGUAAAGCGAGCGCAGGCGGAAUGAUAAGUCUGAUGUGAAAGCCCACGGCUCAACCGUGGAACUGCAUCGGAAACUGUCAUUCUUGAGUGCAGAAGAGGAGAGUGGAACUCCAUGUGUAGCGGUGGAAUGCGUAGAUAUAUGGAAGAACACCAGUGGCGAAGGCGGCUCUCUGGUCUGCAACUGACGCUGAGGCUCGAAAGCAUGGGUAGCGAACAGGAUUAGAUACCCUGGUAGUCCAUGCCGUAAACGAUGAGCGCUAGGUGUUGGGGACUUUCCGGUCCUCAGUGCCGCAGCAAACGCAUUAAGCGCUCCGCCUGGGGAGUACGACCGCAAGGUUGAAACUCAAAGGAAUUGACGGGGGCCCGCACAAGCGGUGGAGCAUGUGGUUUAAUUCGAAGCAACGCGAAGAACCUUACCAGGUCUUGACAUCCUGCGCUACACCUAGAAGAUUAGGUGGUUCCCUUCGGGGACGCAAAAACAGGUGGUGCAUGGCUGUCGUCAGCUCGUGUCCUGAAAAUGUUUGGGUUAAGUCCCGCAACGAGCG
rnacentral:rRNA from 1 species